GCUGCCAGGCCGCGGGGUGGGUGGCAGCGCUGCCCCAGCGCUCGGCCUCCCCGCGGCCGCUCCGGUCCGGCCCGGCCCGGGGCACCUUCGCAGAGGAGCAAACGCGUCAUGACCUCGGAAACACCAGCUCCUCCUGCAACCUUCGGGCACAGGGAAACUCUUUGGAAACGUUCCCGCCUUCUAGAUCUUGAACUCUUGAAGUUCCUUUUCUAACCGGAGUCCCGUUAUUCAUUCAUCCGUCUAACUGUUCGUUCCUCAUUCAUUCGCUCUCUCAAUAAGCAUUCACCGCCACCUACGCGGUGCUGAACCCAGGGGACACAGAGACGAGCAGUCCAAAACGUCACUGUUUAGAGGGGAGACAGGCAAGCAACACUGUUUAAUGGAUGGUGCUGUGGAAAUGAGACCUCAGGUGUCCUGAACGAUAGGACUUUCAGUCCGUCCCAGCAGACCAGGGUGACCCCUUGCAUCAGAAUCACUUGGGAAGCUGAAUGCACUGUAUACACCCCUGGGUCCUACCGGGUGUCCUACCCCAGAACUCCAGGGGUGGAGUCAAUCUUGCACGAGCUCCGCAGGGCUGACUUAUGUGACAAUAAAAUACUGUGACGGCGUGCGAUUCCCAAGACCAGGUUAUGAAACUGGAGACCAAGCUUUUGCCUGAAUCUCUGGAAUCGCUCUCUUGGGGAGGAAGCCAGCUGCCAUGCUUCCCGGACGCACAAGCAGCACCAUGGAGAAGUCCAUACGGUGAGGAAUUGAGGGCCUUCGCCAACAGCAGGCCACAACUCGCUAACCAAGUGAGUGAGCCACUUUGGAAGACGAUUGUCCCACACGGGUCAAGACUUGAGAUGACUGAAGCCCCAGCCAACAUCUUGAUGGCAACCCCAUGGGAGAUCCCAAGGCCGAAUCGCUUAAUGAAAUCAUUCCUGAGAUUCUGACUCACAGAAGCUUUGGGGUUCUUCAUGGUCACAUGGCAUGCUCCUUAUAUGACUUUCUGUGUCCAAAUUUCCCCUUCUCCUGUUUUUUUUUUUAAUAAAAAUGUUUUAACAUUU